rnacentral:rRNA from 1 species
UACGGAGGGUGCGAGCGUUGUCCGGAAUCACUGGGCGUAAAGGGCGCGUAGGCGGCCUGAUAAGUAGGGGGGUGAAAUCCUGCGGCUUAACCGCAGGGCUGCCUUCUAAACUGUCAGGCUCGAGCACAGUAGAGGCAGGUGGAAUUCCCGGUGUAGCGGUGGAAUGCGUAGAGAUCGUAAGGAAGACCAGUGGCGAAGGCGGGUCUCUGGGCCGAUACUGACGCUGAGGAGCGAAAGCGUGGGGAGCGAACAGG